AGAGCGAACGCUGGCGGCAGGCCUAAUACAUGCAAGUCGAACGGAUCCUUCGGGAUUAGUGGCAGACGGGUGAGUAACGCGUGGGAACGUACCUUUUGGUUCGGAACAACACAGGGAAACUUGUGCUAAUACCGGAUAAGCCCUUACGGGGAAAGAUUUAUCGCCAAAAGAUCGGCCCGCGUCUGAUUAGCUAGUUGGUGAGGUAACGGCUCACCAAGGCGACGAUCAGUAGCUGGUCUGAGAGGAUGAUCAGCCACAUUGGGACUGAGACACGGCCCAAACUCCUACGGGAGGCAGCAGUGGGGAAUAUUGGACAAUGGGCGCAAGCCUGAUCCAGCCAUGCCGCGUGAGUGAUGAAGGCCCUAGGGUUGUAAAGCUCUUUUGUGCGGGAAGAUAAUGACGGUACCGCAAGAAUAAGCCCGGCUAACUUCGUGCCAGCAGCCGC
rnacentral:rRNA from 1 species